UUCCCUACCUAUUUUGAUUUAAUUUGCGAGAAUUAAUUAAAAAUAACUAAAAUAGUGAUGUUUAUUUAAAAAGUCGAUAGAAGUUUGGUUAAUAAAUUAGAAUGCGGUACUUUUGGAGAUGAAAUUUUUUCAGGGUAUGGGAGGAGAUUGAAAAGGUAAUAGUCAUAUUUUUUUUUUUUAGGACAUAAGAGGAGAUUGAAAAGAGGGAGAGAAGGAAAUGGUUUGAUGUUGGCAAAAAACAAUUAUUACGGGUUUUAUGUGUUUAUAAAGGAAUCAAGGAAAAUUAGCUUAUAGUAUUUUGCAUUUUAAAUAUAAGUAUGAAGAUAUUGUAUCUUCUAUUGUAAAAU
rnacentral:lncRNA from 1 species